rnacentral:misc_RNA from 1 species
UUGAAUGAAACUUCUGGCUGGAUGCUGUUGUGCUGGCCGUUCUUUUUGGGGCAAUGUGCACACCUCUGGUCAUUUGUUUCUUUUGUUCCACCUGUGCACUGCCUGUAGACACACUCUGUGUCUAUGAUAUCUCACACAUACAUUAUGGAUGAAUGCAUAUUGGUUGGCAUUUUAUAUAAAUA